GGAAAUAUGAAGGAUCUUUGAAUCUGAUGUAGUGAUGUGGUUGAUGGUGGCGGCUAGGCGAGGUCGGAGAUGAGCGAAACAGAUGAGGUGUUGAGGUGUACAAUGGAGAUUAUGUAAUUUAAAGAUGGUGGGUUGAGAAGCUUGCAGAUGCGGUGGUGUGUGUUGGUUCUCCUGUUCCUGGAACGCUACCGACGGCAANNNNNNNNNNNNNNNNAUGGUGGAUGUGAGAGUGGAGGUGGAUCGAGAGACAGAGAGGGAUGUAAAAAUAUGUGAUGGAUAUGAGUUUAUUUUUGGUCAAAAGAGGAAUUAGGAUUGUAGUGUUUGUGGUGUU
rnacentral:lncRNA from 1 species